UUACGGCCAUAUCACGUUGAAACUUCGGUUCCUGGUCGAUCGCCGAAGUUAAGCAACGUCGAGUCUAGUUAAUAUCUAGAUGGGUGACCGCUUGGAAAUACCAAGUUCU